CCUGCACGUGAUUUGCACUCCCUCGGGUUCCUGCCCUACUUAAGCAGCGGCCUGACAUCCUGUCCUCGCCGGAUUGUUAAGUCGUCUCAGAUCUCUACCGGACCCGUCCAUGACCAACUCACCUUCCCCGCCUCCUGGAUCUCACUCUCCUGCCUGUUACCUGUUUGCCUCUCUGCCUGGACCCCUUCAGCUUCCUUCGCCUGCCUGCUCUGCCUGCCCCGAUCCCCGCAGCCACCGCCAGCUCCUUGACUCAAUAAAUCUCUGAGAACCA